rnacentral:rRNA from 1 species
GACGAACGCUGGCGGCGUGCUUAACACAUGCAAGUCGAACGGUGAAGCGCCUUCCUUUUUGGUGGGUGUGGAUGAGUGGCGAACGGGUGAGUAACACGUGAGUAACCUGCCCCCUUCUUCUGGAUAACCGCAUGAAAGUGUUGCUAAUACGGGAUAUUCUGGGUCUGUCGCAUGAUGGGUCUGGGAAAGAUAUUGUUUCGGUGGGGGAUGGUCUCGCGUCCUAUCAGCUUGUUGGUGGGGUGAUGGCCUACCAAGGCGGUGACGGGUAGCCGGCCUGAGAGGGUGGACGGUCACACUGGGACUGAGACACGGCCAAGACUCCUACGGGAGGCAGCAGGGGGGAAUAUUGAACAAUGGGAGCAAGCCUGAUGCAGCGACGCCGCGUGAGGGAUGGAGGCCUUCGGGUUGUGAACCUCUUUCGCCAGUGAAGCAGGCCUGCCUCGUUUGUGGGUGGGUUGACGGUAGCUGGAUAAGAAGCGCCGGCUAACUACGUG